CAGCCCACACAAGAAAACCUAGUUUUUCAUCCCUCACGUCCCAAUCCCUCGAGCCGCCGCCGCCACCCCUCUCCUCCUUCUGCAGUCCCCAUCGCCACUCGCGAGUAGAUCCAGCGCCGGCGCCGGUGCUUUGACGAAUGGAGACCACGCCGCCGCCUUGUGCCAUCGAUGAGCCAUCUCUUCCCCGGCGGUGCCAGCCAACCCAAGUUCAGGGUCUUCAGAUCCAUAUGCCCCAUUCUCAAUGGUCACGGAUCCAGCCAUCCCGAGGCUGGGUGUUCCAGAUCCGGUGGCUCCCAUCUCCGGCGGCGCCAGGUCUAGCCUCGAGGUGAGUGGAUCUGCGGCAGUUUGUCCCCAGCAAGCCUCCUCGUCUAACAGCUGGACCAUCUAAUUUUCCUCUCUCAAGCCAUUUUGUGAAGACCUAAUACAGUGGCACCACAACAGAGUCCAUUCCAAAACUACAGAAGAACGCCAAAUUUCAACGAAGUCUUAGCUGAUUGAAAGGUGUUGAUCAAUCAGAAUUUUCGUACAAUGUUUGGUGGAUAAUUUUAUCUUGAAAGAUAAAAUAUGAAUCUUUAUAAGUGUAUCUUUAUAAAUUGUAACAUAGAUGGAGACUUGCAGUUCCUUUACCACUGGGUGGCUAUUUUCUUAGUGUUUGUAAACAGGAUUGACACAAAGUUGAAACUUUGAUAUGUAUAUCUCACUGAAGUUGAUGUAUCUGUGCACAAUUGUACUAUGAAUAUUUGAUUGAUGUAAAUAAUUAUGUAUGGAUCUAAU